rnacentral:sRNA from 1 species
GCUAAAUUGAUGACGCGUCUGAGUAGGGGUCCACCGAUGUGAUUGCUGUUACAACAGCGGCAGACGAUAAACCCUCUUCAUCUGUACACUCAACCGUCGCCAAAGUCUUUUCUUCUGCGACAACAGCCCCGACGUCACCAUAAGGAUCUGCCUCCAGACACAGAGAAACAAGGCGAUACAGGUACAUGGAUAUUAUCAACGAGUUCUUUGAUAAGAAGAAAAUGAUGGUAUCAUCAACAAUUCCAAGUGCACCGACGGCAUAUGAACGACAAACCAGAAACGGGAACUCCUGCAUGAAGAUUGCCGCCAAAAUGCUCCAAAUUUCUGUUUUGAGGCACACGUUGAGGGUUCGAACCACCACCUUCAUAUACUGCCUGUCUCUAUGGAAAGUGAUGACAAGGUUGUCUUCUCUGGCCUCCGUGAAGGAGAUCGGGAACUGUAACACGCUAAGACUCCACACUACCAGGACAACAAAUGUAAAUGUUCUGUCUAGUGACACGUUCUUGUUUGAGAACAGCGUGAAGAAAUCUGUUAUGUCGCAAGCUUUGCCAAUCAUAACCAGCAACAGGUUAGAUAGUUUGUCACGCGACAUUUGACCUUUUGGCAUUGCCCACCUUCCGAUAAUCAUGACCAGCAGAAAGCUCUGUUCUACGACGUAAACAAAAACGUCGUUGGCCAACGGAAUUAGAUUAUACGUUUGGUUAUUCUGAAAAGGUAAAAAGAAGUGUUUUCAAUUCAUUGAUCAUAAAGACAAACUAUCAUUGGGGUGUAUCACAGUAUAUACGACUGGAGAUGGCGUUUUUUGCUCCAACAGCUGCUCAACCUUCAACAGAUCAGGGAUUGGAGUUGUGUCGAUAAGCAACCACAAUGAUGUGGUUAUACCACUGAGCCAAAACACCUUGAGUCAAACACAAACAGUAGACUAACAGAUGUAUACUAACAACCAGAGUUCCAUCUGAUUAUAGUUUAGUCUUGUUCAGUUUCUAUGAAUUAAGAUAGCUUAAUUAGAUGCAUCCGAAUAGCUAACUAGAUUAACACACAUUUCAAUCUUAUUAAAAGUAAAAUACUUACAAUAUUAUUGAGUAAAUCAUUUAUAAGUUAAGUGUUAACAAGCACUCGUAAUAAUUUGUGUCACGAAUCUUAAGAAUUCCACAAAUUAAAACUUACAAACACUUAAUUAAAUUAAAAUGUAUAUUUGUAUUGUGUGCGCACUUCCUGAAAUUGGCAAGCUUUCGCGAUUACAGUAAUCCUACUUUCAUUGCUAAACAUAUAUCCCAUAAAGAGGUACCGGCAAUGAUAUUUUACAUAGUAAACAUAUUUCAAUAAACUUUCUUCAGAUGAGUAAACAUUAGAAUUCUAAAAAUUGGUUUAGUACAGCACAAAUCCUAUAAUAAUAUAUCUGACGCCGAUGCAUAAAAUAACAUAAUUAUUUAUUUGACAGCAAAUCACAUGAAACAGUCAUGCCAUAAAAUAAAAAAUGCAUAGAGUACAAAUGUAAGUAAAAGAUAAACACACACUGUAUAUUAUGAUAAUAAAAUGUUUAACUCUAAAGUUGAGAACAAAUG